AUUGAACGCUGGCGGCAGGCCUAACACAUGCAAGUCGAACGGUAACAGGGAUCAGCUUGCUGAUUCGCUGACGAGUGGCGGACGGGUGAGUAAUGUCUGGGAAACUGCCUGAUGGAGGGGGAUAACUACUGGAAACGGUAGCUAAUACCGCAUAACGUCGCAAGACCAAAGAGGGGGACCUUCGGGCCUCUUGCCAUCGGAUGUGCCCAGAUGGGAUUAGCUAGUAGGUGGGGUAACGGCUCACCUAGGCAACGAUCCCUAGCUGGUCUGAGAGGAUGACCAGCCACACUGGAACUGAGACACGGUCCAGACUCCUACGGGAGGCAGCAGUGGGGAAUAUUGCACAAUGGGCGCAAGCCUGAUGCAGCCAUGCCGCGUGUAUGAAGAAGGCCUUCGGGUUGUAAAGUACUUUCAGCGGGGAGGAAGGGAGUAAAGUUAAUACCUUUGCUCAUUGACGUUACCCGCAGAAGAAGCACCGGCUAACUCCGUG
rnacentral:rRNA from 1 species